rnacentral:rRNA from 1 species
AUGGCCAAUUCUGUAGGCAACAACGAGUUAGUGUGCGAUGUGGACAUGGCCAACAAUAAAUUCUUAGACAAUUAUGAGUAUGUCGUCAAGAGCGUGCAAGGGGCGAAUGGCGAGCUAAAGGAGGAGAUUAAAGAGCUAUGCAAAGAGACUGUUUGGCUCGUUCAGGAGACUAAUCAGCUUGGGGACGAGAGGGAUAAGCUCGUCGAGGAUCAGGAUAAACUAAAGGAGGAGAGGAGAUGCCUCAGGGCUAAGAGGAUUGACCUGAAGAUGGACAUAGAUCAUUUCAGAAGAGAAGGAGAGGAGGAUAGAAAGAACCUUAUCCAACUGGGCAUACUCCUUGAUGAAGAUUAUGUUUUUAAGUAG